GUUAGCCUGGGUUUCCCCACGUUGCCUUGCACGUGAUUUUAUUUGCGCUGCUUGGCAGUCUGGAUUCCAUAGACUGAUUUUCACCUCAACGAAGGAACCAAUCACAGAAUGGAGGGGAGACAGCAAGACGAUGACAACGUCUAUGCGACACACUGAAGAGGCUAUGAGCUACUGAGUGGAGUGAAGUUCGUCGGUGCUGGGAUUGGGAUAAAUGUGGCAAAUCUCUAUGCUUCGUCUGAUGUCCUAUACAGUAUUGCAGCAAUAAUAAUAGCUGUUGGAUUUCUAAUUAUUGUAGUUGGCCUAUUUAAAAAUCCACCACCUCAACCAUCUAAUGGGUUCAAGAAGCAAUGAUCAGACAACACAGUCAACAGAGAUAUAGGCUGUGCAAUUAUUCAGAUUAAUUGAUUAAUCAUCAAUUAUGAACUCCACCGAUUAUGAAAACAACAAAAUCGCUUUGCUCUACAUUAAAUGUACAUAAACUUUUUAUGUGUUUUCCAGCUGAAGCAAAAUUUAAUUCAAUUCACUGUUUUCAAUUCACAUUUUUUUUUAAGUAAGUUUUUACAGUUGUUGGGACUUUUGUUUCUACAAUGCCAAAUGAUGUACUUAAAGGAGAAAUCCGGCUAGUUUUCACAUAGAU